UUAAAUGUAGUUAAAAUGGUGUAAAGUUGAAGUAAAAUGUGCUUAAGAUGGUUCAACAUGGCUGAAUAUGGGUGAAGUGUGCUUGCUGAGGCAUCAACUGAAGUAAUCAUGAAGCUGAUGUCAAUAGUUAAAGUAUUUAAAGCUUAAACUGAAUAUUAAAGGCGCUGAACAGGUUGAAUGUAGCCCAAAUCACUUUAAAAGGCAGAAAGAGCUGAAAAAGAGGUGAAUUGGCAGCUGAAA